UAUAUAUAAAAUCCUCUGUAGAAUUUUGUCUGUCAAGAAAUUUACAAAUUAAUAUUAUGUUAGCGUUAACAUUUACAUGUCUUAUAUCCACAAAACAAUUAAUAUCCAAACAAGCUCAUCAUCAUCAAAAAAGUUUGCUUGCAAACUCUUCAAUUUCCUCCUCUUCUUUGCAGGAAGAAGAAGUUGCAAGAUCUCUAAGCUGCGAUAGGCUCCUUCCCAACUGUAAUGCCACCUUCAUUUCAAACAAUUCUCCAUUUUCUCUUCUCCCCGUAUCUUUUUCAAUCAAGUUCGAUUCCAUGGACUCUUCCAUCAGCUCAAAGAAUCCGGCGUUGCUCCGGUACAUCUCGAACACCAUUCCGACUUGCAUGCCGUGCUCAAAUGUAUUUACAACACUUGCUAAAGCACCAGCAACAACUCCGAGCACCACUGCCCAAGAGCCAUGAUUAGGAGACCCAACAAAAGCGGAGCCAAGUGCUGCUAAUCCUGUUAGCACAGGACCACUAAUGGCUAGAAAUUUGUUCAAUUUCAAGGCUUUUCCUCCCAACCUCAAGUAGUCUGCUUUGUCUUUCUUUCUUAUAACACCAAUUAUUUCUCUCAUUUCCUCCUCCAACUUCCCAUUCCAACCAUUCCAACCUUUCUUCCCAUCGAGGCCUUUCGCCUGCCUCCGGCGCUGCUCCGGCCACCACACUGCAGGCUCUACAUUCCCGGGGAAUUUCUUGAGCAUUGCACCAAGAAGAGGAAGGGGGUAGGCCUUGUCAAGAGCCAAAACUUUUUCCAUCAUUUCCUUCACAUCACUAGUUGCAGGAUUACCCAUUUCUAUAAUUGUUUGAAUCUGAUUAUGAAGUUGUUUGAACCACCUAGCUGCAUUUCUUUGUUCCUCCGCAAGCUGAGAUGGCUGAAUCUUGUUCAUAAUCGAGAGCAUCCCCGUUGCUGAAAGAUACAUGACGGUGGAAGAAAGCUUUAGUGCAGCCACCGGAGCACCACCGCCGACCGCACUCGUGGAGGCGAUUCCUGUCAUAGCUGCCGCCGCAAGAGUGAGUGCAUUGAUGGAUGUCAAAAGCAGGCUGUUCCAAUUGUUUCUUUGCUCCCCAAUAUUCUUGUGCAUCUCCACCCUAUCUGCAACUGCCUCGAGGAUUGCAUAAAGUUUGGCCAUUACCAAUGGUUCGGGACCGUCAUUAUCAUUUCUUUUGAACGUAUUAAUAUUGAUAGGACUGAGUUUUUUGUCAGUGAAAUUGUGUGACUCCAGUUCCUCCACAAUUCCCUUUGACCGUAGCCCCGAAAGAGAAAUGUUUUUCGUUCUCCUCGGAACGUUUAAGGUUGCCCGAACGAUUCCUCUUCUGCGAUCCCAGGAAGAAGAAGAAGAACUGGAUGAACACACGAUGCUUGAAUUCUGAAGGGUUGCCAUGUUUUUCUUCUUUUACGAUAAUAUAAUCUUUUCUUGAUGAGCUUUUUACUCUGUGGGUAUGUUACUAUGAUAAUUCUAUUC
rnacentral:lncRNA from 1 species